ensembl:lncRNA
UGAUGAGUUACACUAGGUACAGUAGACUAGUACUUCAUAGCUUGAAUACUAUGUGUGUCCUGUAGGGGGAUUCUGGAGGCCCUCUGAUCUACCAGGACCACGUGUCAGGUCGCUUUCAGCUGCAGGGCAUCACGUCCUGGGGAGACGGCUGUGGAGAGAAGGGCAAGCCUGGGGUCUACACACGGGUCAGUGCCUUCUCCGACUGGAUACUGGCUGAGAUACUGAGUGAGUCACAUUAACAGUAACACCGAUAGCCAUAGACUUGUCACAAGAGAUCGGCAUAGACAUAUUACUUUCUUAUGUAGUAAACGUUAGCUCUGGUUGUCUGGCUAUAAAUCUGGAACAUUUCUAUCCUGUGAUAUAUAUAUAUUUUUAGUUGAUAUUGUACUCAACCAAAUAAAAACAGAGAUAGAAAAACCAGUUUCUCUACUGUUUUGCCUAAUCAGCAUUCUAAUAUCCACUAUCCCUUCUUCUUGGUUUACCUAGUGUCCUUUGGGAGCCGGGAGCCGACAUGUCCUGAGCUGCUGAAGACGUCGGAGCUGUCGGAGGAGCAGCAGAAGUCAGAGUUCAGCUCUCUGUGUCGCUUCUACGCCCAGUCCUGCCCCCCCAGCCAGGGGACUGCUGCCUGCAGCCUUCUGGCCGAGGAGAAGUGUCUCAGCCGCUUCAAGAAGUGCCGUAAGUGUUUGAGCCGUAACACUCACAGAUAUUUUUCUGUUUUACUGUGACAUUCAUGAAGAAACCUGAAGUUAGUAUGAGGACCAUGAACUCUCGACUGCCCUAUGUGGAGUGAAUAAAAAUGAUACAAUUAAUGAUACAAUCGCUGUAUUGUAUGCAGCAAUAUGUAAUGAUGAUAAUAUUGUUGUGACGCAGAUGGAUAUUGGGUAUUAUAAUGAGCUAAUUAUCUGCAGAUUACUCAAAAUAUGUCUUUCUCUGGACCUUAAUCAGGUAUCUUUCAUUUGUCCUCUCUCCUCCUCAGAGCUGCAUUCGUUCCUGCAGACCCUGCUGAACCUUCUCCAGAGAGCAGAUACAUUAAAGACAAGGUAGACCUGACCUUCUUCACCCAAACCCUGCCUCAGCUGGUCGAACACAUCUACAGCUCAGCCCUGAACGCCAAGGAAAGGGAGAGGAGGGAGAAUCCACGGGGAACAGAACAGGUAGGGGGUACUGUCCGGUCAGGGCCAGUGGAGACGGGUCCUGGGCUGUUCCAGAAGGUUGGCCCCCUGGUGGCCGACUGGGAGAACUGCCUCAGGGGCAUUGCUGAGGAGCUGGACACGCAGACACAUGGACAGACAGAGGGACAGACAGAUGGACAGACACACGACUCCAAACCACUGAGCCAAGAAGGGAGACUUUUCCUCCAGGUAGACUAUAGUGAACUCAACUCUUCUUUCACACUUUAAAAGGUUUGCCAGGGUCACUUUGUCUGUCUGCUACAGUAAUGAUCGUCUCCCAUGAGGACCCUGAGUUGUACUAUUUUACUGUAUAUUCAGUAGCUAUAGCAACACUACUUAUAGGACCCCGUGUUGUACUAUUUUACUGUAUAUUCAGUAGCUAUAGCAACACUACUUAUAGGACCCCGUGUUGUACUAUUUUACUGUAUAUUCAGUAGCUAUAGUAACACUACUUAUAGGACUGUGUGUUGUACUAUUUUACUGUAUAUUCAGUAGCUAUAGCAACACUACUUAUAGGACUGUGUGUUGUACUAUUUUACUGUAUAUUCAGUAGCUAUAGUAACACUACUUAUAGGAUUGUGUGUUGUACUAUUUUACUGUAUAUUCAGUAGCUAUAGCAACACUACUUAUAGGAC